rnacentral:rRNA from 1 species
UGGGGAAUAUUGCACAAUGGGCGCAAGCCUGAUGCAGCAACGCCGCGUGAGGGAUGACGGCCUUCGGGUUGUAAACCUCUUUUAGCAGGGAAGAAGCGAAAGUGACGGUACCUGCAGAAAAAGCGCCGGCUAACUACGUGCCAGCGGCCGCGGUAAUACGUAGGGCGCAAGCGUUAUCCGGAAUUAUUGGGCGUAAAGAGCUCGUAGGCGGUUUGUCGCGUCUGCUGUGAAAUCCCGAGGCUCAACCUCGGGUCUGCAGUGGGUACGGGCAGACUAGAGUGCGGUAGGGGAGAUUGGAAUUCCUGGUGUAGCGGUGGAAUGCGCAGAUAUCAGGAGGAACACCGAUGGCGAAGGCAGAUCUCUGGGCCGUAACUGACGCUGAGGAGCGAAAGGGUGGGGAGCAAACAGGCUUAGAUACCCUGGUAGUCCACCCCGUAAACGUUGGGAACUAGUUGUGGGGUCCAUUCCACGGAUUCCGUGACGCAGCUAACGCAUUAAGUUCCCCGCCUGGGGAGUACGGCCGCAAGG